rnacentral:ncRNA from 1 species
UAAAAGUUUUAUUCUUGCUUAAUUAUUUAUUGUUAUUUAAUAUUAUAUGCAAUUAUUUUUAUAAAAUCUUCUUAAGGGUGAUUUAAAAUGAGUUGGCAGUAAUUAAUAUUAUUAAUUGGGGAAACUUUGAAUUAGUUAUAAUAUGGGUAUAUUGAUUAAAUAUGUGCCAGCAGUCGCGGUUAAACAUAGAAUAUGAGUGAAUAUUUUUAGUUAAGUUAGUUACUAUGAAUUUUGUAUUAAUUUAUUUUGAAUAUUUUUAAGUGAAAUUUAAAUUUUCAUUUAGAAUUAAUAAUGGAUUUAGGAGGCUUUGAAAUUAAAUGAUUUAAACUAGGAUUAGAUACCCUAUUAUUUUUUUAGGUAAAUUGGUUUAACUUGAGUAGUAAUAGUUAUGGUCUUGAAACUUAAAGAAUUUGGCGGUGUCUUAGUCUAUUUAGAGGAACCUGUCCCAUAAUCGAUAGUCCGCGAAGAACCUUACUUAAUUUAUUUGUAUGUAUACCGCCGUUUAUUGAAGAUUUUUUUAGAAUAUUUUCGUAAUAUUAUAAUUUAUAAUAUUUCAGGUCAAGGUGCAGUUUAUGAUUAAGAGGAGAUGGGUUACAAUGUUUAAAAUUAAAUGGAUUUUAGAUUGAAAUAUUUAUAUAAAGGUGGAUUUAAUAGUAAUUAUUUGUAGAUUGUUAUUAUGAUCUUAGCUCUAAGGCGUGUACACAUCGCCCGUCGCUCUCGUUAUUUAAGGUGAGAUAAGUCGUAACAAAGUAGGUGUACCGGAAGGUGUAGCUAGAAUUAU